rnacentral:rRNA from 1 species
AUUGAACGCUGGCGGCAUGCUUUACACAUGCAAGUCGAACGGUAACAGGCCGCAAGGUGCUGACGAGUGGCGAACGGGUGAGUAAUGCAUCGGAACGUGCCCAGUCGUGGGGGAUAACGCAGCGAAAGCUGCGCUAAUACCGCAUACGAACUAUGGAUGAAAGCGGGGGACCGAAAGGCCUCGCGCGAUUUGAGCGGCCGAUGUCAGAUUAGGUAGUUGGUGAGGUAAAGGCCCACCAAGCCAACGAUCCGUAGCUGGUCUGAGAGGACGACCAGCCACACUGGGACUGAGACACGGCCCAGACUCCUACGGGAGGCAGCAGUGGGGAAUUUUGGACAAUGGGCGCAAGCCUGAUCCAGCAAUGCCGCGUGCAGGAAGAAGGCCUUCGGGUUGUAAACUGCUUUUGUACGGAACGAAACGGCUCUCACUAAUACUGGGGGCUAAUGACGGUACCGUAAGAAUAAGCACCGGCUAACUACGUGCCAGCCGCCGCCGUAAUAC